rnacentral:rRNA from 1 species
GUUACCUUCGGGUAAUGAGGAUGGCGGACGGGUGAGUAACGCGUAAGGAACUUGCCUCUUGGACUGGGACAACUGUUGGAAACGACAGCUAAUACCGGAUAUUAUGAGAUUCUCGCAUGAGAAAUUUAUGAAAGCUAUAUGCGCCAAGAGAGAGCCUUGCGUUCCAUUAGCUAGUUGGUGGGGUAACGGCCCACCAAGGCGACGAUGGAUAGCCGGCCUGAGAGGGUGAACGGCCACAAGGGGACUGAGACACGGCCCUUACUCCUACGGGAGGCAGCAGUGGGGAAUAUUGGACAAUGGGCCACAAGCCUGAUCCAGCAAUUCUGUGUGCACGAUGAAGGUCUUCGGAUUGUAAAGUGCUUUCAGUUGGGAAGAAGAAAGUGACGGUACCAACAGAAGAAGCGACGGCUAAAUACGUGCCAGCAGCCGCGGUAAUACGUAUGUCGCAAGCGUUAUCCGGAUUUAUUGGGCGUAAAGCGCGUCUAGGCGGAAAAAUAAGUCUGAUGUUAAAAUGCGGGGCUCAACUCCGUAUUGCGUUGGAAACUGUUUUUCUAGAGUACUGGAGAGGUGGGCGGAACUACAAGUGUAGAGGUGAAAUUCGUAGAUAUUUGUAGGA